UGGAAGUAAAAAGUCGUAACAAGGUUUCCGUAGGUGAACCUGCGGAAGGAUCAUUACCGAGUUGAUUCGAGCUCCGGCUCGACUCUCCCACCCCAUGUGUACCUACCUCUGUUGCUUUGGCGGGCCGCGGUCCUCCGCACCGACCCCCGUUUGGGGGCCGGCCAGUGCCCGCCAGAGGACCACAAAACUCCAGUCAGUAAACGUCGCAGUCUGAGAAACAAGUUAAUAAACUAAAACUUUCAACAACGGAUCUCUUGGUUCUGGCAUCGAUGAAGAACGCAGCGAAAUGCGAUAAGUAAUGUGAAUUGCAGAAUUCAGUGAAUCAUCGAAUCUUUGAACGCACAUUGCGCCCCUUGGUAUUCCGAGGGGCAUGCCUGUUCGAGCGUCAUUUCAACCCUCAAGCUCUGCUUGGUAUUGGGCUCCGUCCUCUGCGGACGCGCCUCGAAGACCUCGGCGGUGGCGUCUUGCCUCAAGCGUAGUAGAAAACACCUCGCUUUGGAGCGCACGGCGUCGCCCGCCGGACGAACCUUUGAAUUUUUCUCAAGGUUGACCUCGGAUCA
rnacentral:rRNA from 1 species